UAACCUGCCUGGUAGCGGGGGAUAACUAUUGGAAACGAUAGCUAAUACCGCAUAACAGUAGAUAUUGCAUGAUAUCUGCUUGGAAGGGGCAAUUGCUCCACUACCAGAUGGACCUGCGUUGUAUUAGCUAGUUGGUGAGGUAACGGCUCACCAAGGCGACGAUACAUAGCCGACCUGAGAGGGUGAUCGGCCACACUGGGACUGAGACACGGCCCAG
rnacentral:rRNA from 1 species